rnacentral:rRNA from 1 species
GACGGAGGGUGCAAGCGUUGUUCGGAUUGACUGGGCGUAAAGGGCGUGUAGGCGGUUGGUCAAGUCUGGUGUGAAAGCCCGGGGCUCAGCCUCGGAAGUGCAUCGGAAACUAGCCAGCUGGAGCGCGAUAGAGGAGGGUGGAAUUCCUGGUGUAGCGGUGAAAUGCGUAGAUAUCAGGAGGAACACCGGCGGCGAAGGCGGCCCUCUGGAUCGUUGCUGACGCUGAGACGCGAAAGCGUGGGGAGCAAACAGG